rnacentral:rRNA from 1 species
UACGGAAGGUGCAAGCGUUAGUCGGAAUUACUGGGCGUAAAGGGUGCGUAGGCGGUGAUACAAGUCGGACGUGAAAUUCCGAAGCUUAACUUCGGAGCUGCAUCCGAAACUGUAUCACUAGAGGAAUGGCGGAGAGAAUGGAAUUCCAUAUGUAGCGGUGAAAUGCGUAGAUAUAUGGAAGAACACCCGUGGCGAAAGCGGUUCUCUAGUCUCCUCCUGACGCUGAGGCACGAAAGCAAGGGGAGCAAAC